UCUGGCUCAGGAUGAACGCUAGCGGCAGGCUUAACACAUGCAAGUCGAGGGGUAACAUAGUUGCUUGCAACUGAUGACGACCGGCGCACGGGUGCGUAACGCGUAUAGUACCUACCUUAUAGUAAGGGAUAGCCCAGAGAAAUUUGGAUUAAUACCUUAUAGUAUCCUAAGUGAGCCUUCACUAAGGAUUAAAGAUUUAUCGCUAUAAGAUGGCUAUGCGUUCUAUUAGCUAGUUGGUAUGGUAACGGCAUACCAAGGCUACGAUAGAUAGGGGUCCUGAGAGGGAGAUCCCCCACACUGGUACUGAGACACGGACCAGACUCCUACGGGAGGCAGCAGUGAGGAAUAUUGGACAAUGGAGGCAACUCUGAUCCAGCCAUGCCGCGUGUAGGAAGACUGCCCUAUGGGUUGUAAACUACUUUUAUAGAGGAAGAAACCAUUUCACGUGUGAAAUGCUGACGGUACUCUACGAAUAAGGAUCGGCUAACUCCGUGCCAGCAGCCGCGGUAAUACGGAGGAUCCAAGCGUUAUCCGGAAUCAUUGGGUUUAAAGGGUCCGUAGGCGGUUUAGUAAGUCAGUGGUGAAAGUUUUCGGCUCAACCGGAAAAUUGCCAUUGAUACUGCAAGACUUGAAUUAUUGUGAAGUGGUUAGAAUGUGUAGUGUAGCGGUGAAAUGCAUAGAUAUUACACAGAAUACCGAUUGCGAAGGCAGAUCACUAACAAUUAAUUGACGCUAAGGGACGAAAGCGUGGGUAGCGAACAGGAUUAGAUACCCUGGUAGUCCACGCCGUAAACGAUGGUUACUAGCUGUUUGGACUUCGGUCUGAGUGGCUAAGCGAAAGUGAUAAGUAACCCACU
rnacentral:rRNA from 1 species